UUACACAUGCAAGUCGAACGCUCGUAGCAAUACGGGAGUGGCAGACGGGUGAGUAACGCGUGGGAACAUACCCUCCGGUUCGG
rnacentral:rRNA from 1 species